rnacentral:rRNA from 1 species
UGUGGUUUAAUUCGACGCAACGCGCAGAACCUUACCAGCUCUUGACAUCCCGCGACCGGUCCGGAGACGGACUUUUCCCUUCGGGGACGCGGAGACAGGUGCUGCAUGGCUGUCGUCAGCUCGUGUCGUGAGAUGUUGGGUUAAGUCCCGCAACGAGCGCAACCCUCAUCCUCAGUUGCCAGCGGUUCGGCCGGGCACUCUGUGGAAACUGCCGGUGACAAGCCGGAGGAAGGCGGGGAUGACGUCAAGUCCUCAUGGCCCUUAUGGGCUGGGCUACACACGUGCUACAAUGGCGGUAACAGUGGGGAGCAAGGGCGCGAGCCGGAGCAAAUCCCAAAAAGCCGUCCCAGUUCGGAUUGCACUCUGCAACUCGGGUGCAUGAAGUCGGAAUCGCUAGUAAUCGCGGAUCAGCACGCCGCGGUGAAUACGUUCCCGGGCCUU